AUCUAGAAAUACAUAAACUGCACGCUCUCGGGGUUGCUUCAAUUUAGUUACACUAAACUGCCGCUCUUGGCAGACACCUGCCGAAGGAUGGAUCUGGGGGGGCCCAAGCCGUCACUUUCUUAUGAGCCUUGCCCUGCUGAAGCCCCAGCUUUGCCAUUCGGAGGGCAGGGGCACCCACCCACCGCUGCUGCCCCAACACCCGGGGCAGAUCCUUGCCUGCUGCACUGUGCUGGGACCAUCUCUCCUGUCCGAGACUCUGGAUGCGUACAGAGAAAAAGUCACGCACUGGCAUUUUUUUGGGGGGAAAAGGGGGGGAUUUGAAAGUGCUCUGUGCUGGCUGUAGGUCACAGUCCCCUUAGACGGGAUGCCAUUCCCAGUGGAGGCUCCUAGCUCGGGUGUCUGUACUGGCGUUGACUGAGUGUGCUCAUUCGCAGAGUAAAGCCCUUCCCAGGGUCAGGGCCGUGCUCUGCUUGCGGAGCUGCUCUUCAACAGGGCACAGAGAGGCUCCCCGUGCAUUUUGUGCAAUUUAGUGGCAGGAUAUGGAGGCAAGAGGCUGUCGGGCACUUUGCUUCCACGGAAGAAAGUAACCUGUGGUCAGCUUGAGAGAUGACUGUGGUGUGUGACUUGAGCCUGUCUUCAAGUAUUAGAAACCAGAAAGCAAAGACAGAUCCCAUGUUCCUUCUGCUCUAAACUCAUCGUCGUGUCUCAUGGCUUGGAGGAUUUGCCUCAGCAUUAGGGAGGAUGUCCUGGGAGUGCAAUCAAGGCCUUCUGGGAUGAGGUGGAGCAAAGUGCUCUUCCAAGCUGUAAGUUCUUCUGCCCAUGCCAGAGCGUGCCGGUUGUGCCGGAAACACAGGUCUGGAGAGAGGGUGACUUUCCACUGAGCAAUAAAUGGAUUAAAGGGUUUCGUAUGAAUUGAACUCUGCUGAUUUACCCUGUCUGAGGAGCUGGUGCUAGAGCAGGUCUUACUUUUGUGCUGGCCCAUAGUAGAAUUUGCUUGAUGAGUUUUGCUUGGAGUAUGACAACUCAGAGCAGGAGGGAGUCAUUUUGCAGCUAGUUCAUGGUCGCUGUGAUGGGAGAACUAGCCUUGAAAUGAGUUACAGCGGAGAAGAGCUGAAAAAUAGUAUUUUCCAGAUGGUGGGAAGCAAUGCUGUUAUGAAACUGGUGUUUGGGGCUGUCUCUGAUAUAAGCAAAGUUUCUGAGAAGCAGAAGGCUCCUCGGCUGUCGCCUGCACCGUGUUCCUGGAGACCCCUGCAGGAUGUCCUUCCUUGCCUUGGCAGAAGUCCAUCACGCCUCAGCCACCACGCAUGAAGUGUUUCAGCCUCAACUGUGCAGCAUUUUGUAAUGAAACUGUUAAAUCUGAAACCGUGAUUGUCUCUGGAGCAUGCUGUGGGGCUAAGCGUGGGGCACAUCUUCAUGCAGGGUGCAGCAAGGGCCAUGUUUAACUGGAGCCCACCUGGUACUACCAGCACUACGUGCCCAGAAAUCAUAGAAUUAUAGAAUCAUAGGAUAGUUUGGGUUGGAAGAGACCUUUAAAUGUCAUCUAGGCCAACAUUCCCUGCAAUGAGGAGGGACAUCUUUAACUAGAUCAGGUUGCUCAAAGCCUCAUCAAGCCCGGCCUUGAAUGUCUCCAGGGAUGGGGCCUCCACCACCUCCACCACCUCUCUGGGUGACCUCUUCCAGGUUGAUACACGCAGGUGUGCGCACUCGCACCCCUGCACACCCCCUGCCAGAUCCACUCCCCCCUGCCUGCAUCAUAUGGGAGGCUGAAUCUUCAAAACCACAGUGUUCCCAGUCUCUCUCCAUGCUUCUGAUUUGAAAGAGGCACAUGAGCACUUUCCCCUUUAACAUCCCCCUGCAAUGAAAAGGAAAUCAUUAAGACAUUUUGCAGCAGGAGCCAUGGGUUGUGAUGCCAGGUAUUGUGCACUUCGUUCCUCCGGGUGGCUGGUCCUCAGCCCUGGCAAUGAAGGACUGGUGGAGCAGAGAGCCCAACUCCUUCUUGAAGGUAUUAACCCAGGAAUGGAGUUCUGGGCUGAACGCAGCGUCAUGGAGGCUUCAUGUCAUGCACUGCUGGGCACAGCAGAAGGGAAACGGCUGCCUCCCGAUGUGCAGCUUGUUUUAACACCAUGCGUGAAUGUAUGUCUUGUUUCCUUCAGCACGACCUUGCGUCCGCUCCAAACUCAAUCUAGGCUCUGAUACUGCGGUGAGCAGCAUGGCGUAAAUCUUCAGGCAAGCAGCUGAAUAUUGUAACCUCAUUUGGUAAAUGAGAAAAAUAGGCUUCCCAGAAGACGCUUUUUGCUUUAAUUAUUAAAUAAAUAGGAAAACAGCCUUCUGUCUAGCUGAGCUGGCAGCUUAUGAAGAGAUUCAAGUGAAACCAAUGCGACCAGCUAGCUGUCAGGUUUCCAGCCUGUUUGUUCCUCCUCUGGAGCAUCCUGGUGUGAGUCUGGGAGCUCUGCUCUGUGCAGGGUGUAGCAGGAACCAGAGGGACAGGCACUGCUGCUGAGGGCCCUGCUUGUCCUUGCAUGGGCAAAAUAUGGUGGGAUCUGCUGCCCACUGUCAGGAGUUGGGGCUUCCCACUGUCCAGGAGACCGCUGAAGGCACAAGUCACUUCCACUUAGACAGAGUUCAUGGAAAAAUGAACAAAAGUGUCACCUCCACAUCCUCUGGCGAGAGGCUCUUCAUGUCAGGAGCAAACAGGAGGAGAGCUGUCUGUAGGCAGAGGAGGCCACAGCUGGGACGUUCAAGAUACAACCCAACCUGUUGCCUCUGUAGGAGACAACGUGUCCCUGGGAGUUGGCUUUGAUUUGGAAGGGCAGCCAGUGACGACAGACAAAGAUGGGGGUGCUAGCAAGCCACAGGAUGCCUGAUACUCCUGCCAAAUCCUUAAUAGCUUUAUUUGGGCCGAGGGAACUCAUUCUGAAACCUCAAGAGCUGCUGUGAAAUGGGAUCAUCAUCCGCCAGGGAGCUCCAGUGCCUAUGUGCCUUACAGCAAUCGUGACGAAUUCUCAUCCCAGCCUGGCAUGAAACCUUUAUGGCAGAGCCAGCACAGUCUGAGUUAAGGUGUGGGCAUCAGGCCUGACGCAACAUGGUGUGGAAGCAACAGACGUUGAUGUUCCCUUAAACUCAUGAUCAGGAGCAUCGCUGACUCCGACACAUCCAUGUACACAGAGUUGCUUCCACCCACCUCCACAGUCCAUGCCAUGGACAGUUGUCCUGUUUGAGACCCAGCCCCUUGUAUCUAGCAACUCUGACCUACUGGAAGGACUCCUUAGAUGGAAGGGCUGAUUUUAGUCAAGGAACACAUGGAGGAGUGCAGGGAUCACUUCUGCAGAUGAGACAGUUGAGAGCAUUGCCAAUGUGGAAGCGGAUCUGAAUGUCACACAGGAAGGAUGGAGCGACCUCGGGGACUGUUAGAAGAAGCAGUGUGAGAUAUUGCAACUCAGGGAUGGGGCCUCCACCACCUCCACCACCUCUCUGGGCAACCUGUUCCAGGUUGAUACACGCAGACGUGCACACUCGCACCCCUGCCAGAUCCACUCCUCCCUGCCUGCGCCCUGCCAGCACUGGGGACACGAGAGAGGAGCUCCUGAGAAGGGCUGGCUCUAAAGCUGUCAGGCUUCCCAGACGAUUGUGUCUGACGACCAGCAUGGCCCGGAAAAUAUGAUUGUGAUUGAUUUUGUUGCCUGGAGCCCAUGUCGAUUUCAGAUUCUGCCAGUGUUUUGUUUUAACUUGCUGGAUCCAGCCCAGCUCAGGAACUUUGCUGCAGCCCAGCCAGGACUCUGCGAGGGUCCUGGGGUUUCAUUGCCUGCUUUUAUUUCCCCCUUCUCCUGAUGACUGCUGGAAGCCACGUCUCAGCUGAGCUGAAAGAGAAGCACUGGAGUAGCGAAGGGACUCUCCUGUCCCUCCUGUCCUUGAGAGCCAGAGCUUGAGAUGUCCCUCUUGAGCUGCUGUAAAUGAUCUUUCAUGCCUUGAAAGUCCCCAAGGAGGGGACGGCAUCCCAAAGCAAGACCCUCGGCCAUCAGGUCAACCCAAAAGUCAUCUGGAAAACUUAACACACAAACUCUGGAGCAAAUCACUGGAAAAUGUGCCUUCUGUGGCAGGUCAAAAGGAGGAUAACAAGGGACCAAACCUGUAGGGGACAGGAUUUCAGUGACUUGCUGUCUCCGUUACAGCUUGUACGUGUCUAGAGCUUGUUUGUGAGCAAUUAAUGCAGUCGUCUUAAGCAGAGCCAUGGAGAGCAUGAUUUAAGUAGUUAAUAGUAAUUAAAGGCACAUUAUCUGCGGGCAUGUUGUCCAUGCCCAUCCUGCACAGCCCUGUUGGCUGCCCUGCGCCAGCUUGCCCAAGUUGAGGGGAAGGAAACGGGGUGGGCUGUAAGCCAUGCAACACUGUGGGCUCUGCUUGCCCUCUCCAUCGUCCCUGCCAUAUGUCUGGGAUGUCCCUGGGGAAGCCUCCCCACUGUCACCAGCCACCCAGAACAGGGCAGUGCCACGCAGCCAUGGCAGGACUCUGCGCCCAUCUGUGCCGUCCCCAGCAGCACCCAGGGAAGGAGAGAAGAGGCAUUCAUCCACCUGUGCAAUGUGUGAGACUGACCCUAUUUUGACAAGGUUGUGUCAAAAUCAGAAUGCGACUUUCUGCUAGUUUUAGCUCAUACCUGCACCAAGCAACUUGAUCAACUUAGCUAGGCACCACCUCCCUCUCUGUCCUGUUUCACUCAGUUAAGACAUAACCCUUUGACAUUUUUGCCAUUAAUGUGGGGUCUGGCUAAAGGGGGGGAUUUCAAGCAGGGACAGUAAACCAACCUCACUCCUAUCCUGUCCCCAGCUCUGCUAAUGACAGUUGUGGAGGAUGGGGAGGAGAAAAGAUCUCCGUGUGGGCUGGUUGGUUUUUCUGAGCGACCCAAAGCAAAGUCAAGACAGAACAAGAAAAAAAGCAACGUGGGGAUGGAGUGAGAAAUUCCAGUUUAGGCUUAAUCUCUCUUUGCUUUGAAAAGAAACAGCUCAGGCCCUUUUGAGAUGGAGAAAGAAAAAAAGAAAAGAAGUCUGAGCUUUUUAGAAAUUUCCUUCCAUUAUUUUAUGAAUGAGUCUUGAAGCUACCAAUAUUCCGCUCACCAAAAAGGGCAACUUUUUAAGUGGAUUUACCUUUUCAGCCCUGGUCCCCCUUGCCUUCAGCUAUGUUUUGCCAGCAGGAAUAGACUUUUCAUGAACUGCCCUUAGCGAUGUCCUGGGAGCUCACAUCAAGAGGCGAGAUGCACCGGAGUCUCUGUUUCCUACUUCCAAACACCUUCCCCUUCCUUUUCAACAUUUCCCCCUGCUGCAAAUAGUAGCCGAGCUGUAGAUCUUCAAUUAUUUUUGUGCCUUUGCUCCAUUUAAGCAUUGCAGGACGUUAUACAGAACCGAGAACCAAAUCUCCCUCUCAAAGUUGCACCACACGGUGUUAAGGCUCCCAGGCAUUUUCCUGCAGCCCCAAAUCUCUUGACGUUUCUUAUAUUAAAUCUGUUUAUUGAAGCUGUUCUUCUGCCAUUACACUUUUUCACAAGCUGUAUACUUUCCCUUGCUAGGGCUUCUCAAAAAAAAAAAACAACAAAAAAACUAUAUACAUGUCAGGAUUUCUGGCUUAUGACAGCACUAUGAGGUUUCUUCAGGGUGAGACAUUGCAUUUGCAAGGCUGGUGCUGGAAGCUGGAUUUCUGCGCUGUUCCAGGGGAUCUGCCUAAAGAAAAGUUAGUCUAGGAUAUGCGAGGAUGCAAAAGAAUACAGGUUUGGGGUGAAUUUUGGGAGAAGUGUCUUCCCCCCUUACCCCUGUUUAGCAAUUGCAUCCACGGUGGAUUGCAUUAAAGCAAAAAGGAGGGUUCUGCUGAUGGAGACAGGGGAAGGUCCCCACGUAAAUUAGUCCACCUGGGAUAAUCAGGAAUAGCUAUUCUGAGUAGGGCAAAGCCUCGGGAGCAGCACUGAGGGGAAUGAAAAUCAAACUCCUUUUUCCUGGUGCUCUCCCUCUCCUUAUUAUCUACACAUAAAUAAUUCACAUUCUUUGCAAGCCAAGUCUUGUCUUGACUGAAGGAGUUCAGAUCAUUAGAAACCCAACAAUUUUCUGCAUAUUUCAUAAUAAAAGAAGCUCUAACGGGGCAGGAAGCUGGGAGGAGGGCAAAAAGGGGAAGGAUUUCUUCUGCUGCAACUUCUGCUCUUGGGAGUUUCCCAAGAUUUUUGGACUACUGAUACCAGAGAUUCCUGGAUGCCCAGCUAGAAAAAAGCCACAGCACGGAAAAGAUGGAAGGACCUCCCAGUGAGACCAGAGGACCCACGUGUGUUGGGGUGGGAUGCUCUUGGGGACCAUCUCUUCGCUGGGAGGAGGUUACUCCUUUGUGCGCUGCUCAGAUUUCAAGGUAGAUUUUAUUAUAUACAUUUAAUAACAAAACAUGCCUUAAAAAAUUUCCAAUAAAGAGCCAUCUCAAAGCAAACAUGCCCCAUUCCAGAAAAGUUGUUUCAGCAUUAUCCAAAUGCUCAAAGUCACUGCGGCUUGCUUCUUUUUCACCCUCAUAGUGGCUUUUUGCCACCAGUGUUUCCAUGAAAUGGCUCAUUUUUGAUGAAUUCUCGUUUUUGGAUGGCAAGGGAAGAGGAGCACUGGAUGGUUUCCAAGCAGCUCCAUUACAGAGGCCAACAUUUUGCACGGGGCCUCUCUCCCCCCGGUUUAUUGAUCACCGAGACAUGACCUUGCAGGGCUGAGUCUGCCCAGGAGCAGGCAAUGACAGGAUCCGGGUAGCCAUCCCUCUGCUGCCUCUGUGCAGCUCCACUGCAGCACUCCCAGUUCAGGUCUUAGUGGAAAUUUGGGUCUAUCUCUAUCUGCCCUAGAGGACAUGUCCCCUUGUCCAGCCCAUCAAAAGCAGCCCUGCCACCUCCAGCUCUCUGAUAUGCCCUCAGCCUGAGCGUGGAGGAUACUCUGGCUUUCUUAUCCCUUUGAAAUUUCCCCUUCCACCCUCCCUGGUUUCACAGCAGAAAUAGGACCCAGGUUAGUGGAGACAUUGAGACAUUCUUGCCCAUCCCACGCUCUCUGCAAUUGCCUCUAUAAACACAUCCGUGCCCAGUGGGGAGGAGAGCCAUUUGAGCUAAGGGAUAACUCUGGCACAGGGGCAAAUGGGGAAAAAGUGGCUGGGGAAGGCUGUGGGCUGGAAAUUAAAAAAGGUCCCAAUCACCAGAAGAAACACCCUCUUUGAGAGGGGCAGGCAGAGCCGUGGCUUAGCCAGCAGGCAAGAAGGCUUCUUGAAGGGGUUGGAGUUGGCGAGCCCCAUGUCAGACCUCCAUCCCACCAGCUUGCUCCCACCUCAUCCCAGUGCUCGGCACCAUCAGGCAUGUGCUUGACCAAAACUGGGGAAAGCAGCUUUCAGAAGCUGUGCCGCAGGUCCUGCGGCCAUUGGCAAAGACGAGGCUCCUCCAACUCCGGCUCAUGUUUGAAGUUUCUCUCUCCUAACACAUGCUCAGGCUGUCAUGCCAGACGGCUGUCCCUGCUGGGACAGUG